UUGGAGAGUUUGAUCCUGGCUCAGGACGAACGCUGGCGGCGUGCCUAAUACAUGCAAGUCGAGCGAGCUUGCCUAGAUGAAUUUGGUGCUUGCACCAAAUGAAACUAGAUACAAGCGAGCGGCGGACGGGUGAGUAACACGUGGGUAACCUGCCCAAGAGACUGGGAUAACACCUGGAAACAGAUGCUAAUACCGGAUAACAACACUAGACGCAUGUCUAGAGUUUAAAAGAUGGUUCUGCUAUCACUCUUGGAUGGACCUGCGGUGCAUUAGCUAGUUGGUAAGGUAACGGCUUACCAAGGCAAUGAUGCAUAGCCGAGUUGAGAGACUGAUCGGCCACAUUGGGACUGAGACACGGCCCAAACUCCUACGGGAGGCAGCAGUAGGGAAUCUUCCACAAUGGACGCAAGUCUGAUGGAGCAACGCCGCGUGAGUGAAGAAGGGUUUCGGCUCGUAAAGCUCUGUUGGUAGUGAAGAAAGAUAGAGGUAGUAACUGGCCUUAUUUGGACGGUAAUUACUUAGAAAGUCACGGCUAACUACGUGCCAGCAGCCGCGGUAAUAA
rnacentral:rRNA from 1 species